rnacentral:rRNA from 1 species
UACGUAGGUGGCAAGCGUUGUCCGGAUUUAUUGGGUUUAAAGGGUGCGUAGGCGGUCUUAUAAGUCAGUGCUGAAAUAUCCCGGCUUAACCGGGAGGGUGGCAUUGAUACUGUAGGACUUGAGUAAAGUUGAGGUUGGCGGAAUUGACGGUGUAGCGGUGAAAUGCUUAGAUAUCGUCAAGAACACCGAUAGUGAAGACAGCUAACUAAGCUUUAGCUGACGCUGAGGCACGAAAGUGUGGGGAUCAAACAGG